rnacentral:rRNA from 1 species
UGGGGAAUAUUGGACAAUGGGCGAAAGCCUGAUCCAGCCAUGCCGCGUGUGUGAAGAAGGUCUUCGGAUUGUAAAGCACUUUAAGUUGGGAGGAAGGGCAUUAACCUAAUACGUUAGUGUUUUGACGUUACCGACAGAAUAAGCACCGGCUAACUCUGUGCCAGCAGCCGCGGUAAUACAGAGGGUGCAAGCGUUAAUCGGAAUUACUGGGCGUAAAGCGCGCGUAGGUGGUUUGUUAAGUUGGAUGUGAAAUCCCCGGGCUCAACCUGGGAACUGCAUUCAAAACUGACUGACUAGAGUAUGGUAGAGGGUGGUGGAAUUUCCUGUGUAGCGGUGAAAUGCGUAGAUAUAGGAAGGAACACCAGUGGCGAAGGCGACCACCUAGAAUAAUA